AAUAGAUACCCCGGUAGUCCACGCCGUAAACGAUGAGUGCUAAGUGUUAGAGGGUUUCCGCCCUUUAGUGCUGCAGCUAACGCAUUAAGCACUCCGCCUGGGGAGUACGGUCGCAAGACUGAAACUCAAAGGAAUUGACGGGGGCCCGCACAAGCGGUGGAGCAUGUGGUUUAAUUCGAAGCAACGCGAAGAACCUUACCAGGUCUUGACAUCCUCUGACAACUCUAGAGAUAGAGCGUUCCCCUUCGGGGGACAGAGUGACAGGUGGUGCAUGGUUGUCGUCAGCUCGUGUCGUGAGAUGUUGGGUUAAGUCCCGCAACGAGCGCAACCCUUGAUCUUAGUUGCCAGCAUUCAGUUGGGCACUCUAAGGUGACUGCCGGUGACAAACCGGAGGAAGGUGGGGAUGACGUCAAAUCAUCAUGCCCCUUAUGACCUGGGCUACACACGUGCUACAAUGGAUGGUACAAAGGGCUGCAAGACCGCGAGGUCAAGCCAAUCCCCAUAAAACCAUUCUCAGUUCGGAUUGUAGG
rnacentral:rRNA from 1 species